UCAUAUAGCCUCUGUCACAUUGGGCUAUAUUCCAAGGAUGAAGCCUGUGGUGUUCAAAUGUGGAAAUGGAGCUACAGAGAGCUAACUUUUUAAAUCCCUUGGUGCCCUAUCAUUGAUCCCUACACUGGAGAUUAACAUGGCAGGUCCCUGACUUUAGUCAUUUCCAUUUCACCCCUGUUGAGAUUCUGUCUCAUGAGUAACCUGACAGCCAGCUAGGCCCAACACAGUUUCAUGGGCUCACCACAUGUGAUCUUUUUGUCAUCAAGGGCCAGGCAAGUACCAUGACUUAAACAACAAAUUCUUCUGUAUUGGACAGGCUUUCUAGUCUGAGGACCAGAAGGGUGGGCUGAAUAGCCAUGUGCUGUAGUGUCUCUCCCUCUUUCCCAGCUGUCUGGCCAUGACUGAGGGACAGAUCUAAAGACUAACUAGGGAUGUUGCUAGCAUUGUAUGUAGCAUGUUAGGCAACAAUGAACUGGGCCACUUGGCUUCUCUCUCGGUGCAGUGUAAAUUAAAGAACAUACAAAUUAUUAGUCAAGGCUGCUGAAAAAAAAAGUUUUCAGUGUAGGACUGCAGAGGCCUUGUGAGAAGGUGAUUAAAGUUAUUUACAAAUACUUGGACUCACACCCAGUGUCUUGGUAGGAUUGUACAUCCCUAUCCAAUUAAGUUAGGUCUGGCCACUUUACCUGCUUGGAUCAGGGAGAUGUGAACAGCAGUGAAUUAUAGUGGGCACCUGGAGUUAGCAUAUGCUUCUCCAUAUUCACUUGUGACGACUACGGCUUCUCUGUCAUUCUGGGUUCCCAAGUUGUGCCUCCUUUCCCCACAACUAACUGUGGUGGACAUGUAGCAAGAGAAAGAUAUAAAAUUCUGUUAUUUUAGGCCAUUGAGAUAUAGGGGUAAUCUGCUACUGAUACAGACUAAUACACUACAAUAGGUCAUCUCAGCUAUGAGCAAAGGGAGAAGUGUGGGCAUGGAGCUAGGAAGAUGGAGCAGACCCAUCAAGGUGAAAUGAGCAAGUCUGUGUUGUUGGAGAGUGAAAAAGCUGGCCAAAUCAUCUGCACAAUGUCCCUUGCCCAGCAGUUCUGUGUGAAAACCAAAAUCAUGCUUGGAAUUUCCAGAUUUCUCCAGUGCUUGCGGUAUUGAGUCAUUUCUCAAUAAAUGUCAAUAAAUUGUCAAUAAAUGUCAAUAAAUGGCUCAAUAAAUGUCAAUAAAUUGAGCCAUUUCUCAAUAAAUGAAUGACUUUUAAAUUGAAUAUUAGCCAUACAAACAAGUAGAGAAGUAGUAUCUGGAAAGGGAACAAAACUGGAUUCAAAAGACCUUGUCUGCAUUCAAAGUAAGGACUCUAAAGAUAUGGUUUUACUUUCUGAAGAAUGAGUAGAAGUGAUUAGAUAAGUUAGGACAAAUGUUUCACAAAAACUCAAUCCCUUUUGUGUAUAAGGCAUUUAGAGUUUAUGAGAUCAUAAGAUGGAAGUGGACAGGAGACGUUAGCUUUCCAUCACUGUGACAAAAUACCUGAGGUAAUCAACUUUGGGGGAAGAAAGGCUUGUUUUGGCUCACAGUUUUGGAAUUCUAGUCUAUGGUGGGUUGGCCUGUUGCUUUUGAGUCUGUGGGAAGACAGUAAAUCAUGAUGGGAACAGGAGGCAGAAAAAGCUCUUCACCUCACGGCGGUCAGAAAGCAAAGAGAGAAAUAGGAAGCAGCCAGGGUCCCAACAUCCCCUUCAAGGGGAUAUUGACCUAACUUCGUCUCUAAGUCCCACUUUCUGAAGGUUCCAACAUUUCCUCGUGGUGGCACAGACCGGCAACCUAGCCAGUCUUGGUGAACUGUCAAGAUCCAAAGUACAGCAGGAGACCUUCCUCGAGGAAAGAGUCUAUUUGUGAUGCUGGGUAAGGGGGUGCCAUUUCACAUAUAUUUCCAGCUAUUUUACCAGCAUCCCAACUGGCUGCCUGGGGUUCCCUACAUUGAUGAGGAUCUCAUAGCUCAGUUUUUCUAGGAGACCUUUAUUAUUAAAAAUACAGUUCCAUUC
rnacentral:lncRNA from 1 species